UGGAAGUAAAAGUCGUACAAGGUUUCCGUAGGUGAACCUGCGGAAGGAUCAUUAGUGAAUCUAGGACGUCCAACUUAACUUGGAGUCCGAACUCUCACUUUCUAACCCUGUGCGUCCGUUUUAAAAUUGGCUAGUAGCUCUUCGGAGUGAACCACCAUUUUUCACUUAUACAAACACAAAGUCUAUGAAUGUAAGCAAAUUUAUAACAAAACAAAACUUUCAACAACGGAUCUCUUGGCUCUCGCAUCGAUGAAGAACGCAGCGAAAUGCGAUACGUAAUGUGAAUUGCAGAAUUCAGUGAAUCAUCGAAUCUUUGAACGCACCUUGCGCUCCUUGGUAUUCCGAGGAGCAUGCCUGUUUGAGUGUCAUGAAAUCUUCAACCCACCUCUUUCUUAGUGAAUCUGGUGGUGCUCGGUUUCUGAGCGCUGCUCUGCUUCGGCUUAGCUCGUUCGUAAUGCAUUAGCAUCCGCAACCGAAACUUCGGAUUGACUUGGCGUAAUAGACUAUUCGCUGAGGAUUCCAGACUUGUUCUGGAGCCGAGUUGGGUUAAAGGAAGCUUCUAAUCCUAAAGUCUAUUUUUUGAUUAGAUCUCAAAUCAGGUAGGACUACCCGCUGAACUUAAGCAUAUCAAUAAGCGGAGGA
rnacentral:rRNA from 1 species